rnacentral:rRNA from 1 species
UCCAGACUCCUACGGGAGGCAGCAGUGAGGAAUAUUGGUCAAUGGCCGAGAGGCUGAACCAGCCAAGUCGCGUGAGGGAAGACGGCCCUACGGGUUGUAAACCUCUUUUGUCGGGGAGCAAAGCGAGUCACGUGUGACUCAUUGAGAGUACCCGAAGAAAAAGCAUCGGCUAACUCCGUGCCAGCAGCCGCGGUAAUACGGAGGAUGCGAGCGUUAUCCGGAUUUAUUGGGUUUAAAGGGUGCGUAGGUGGUUAAUUAAGUCAGCGGUGAAAGUUUGUGGCUCAACCAUAAAAUUGCCGUUGAAACUGGUUGACUUGAGUAUAUUUGAGGUAGGCGGAAUGCGUGGUGUAGCGGUGAAAUGCAUAGAUAUCGCGCAGAACUCCGAUUGCGAAGGCAGCAUGCCGGCUCCACACUGACGCUGAGGCACGAAAGCGUGGGUAUCGAACAGGAUUAGAUACCCUGGUACA